AUGAGUCACCGAGACCCAAAGGCUCCCAAGUGCCCCCUGUGGGAUGGACCUCAUUCAGUCUUUUUGUUUUGCUGGAGCUCUGAGCUUUUGUGUGUAAGCAGGAGUGAUUCACACACGCACACCACACACACACACACAUGCACACACUGUGCCCUCUGUAAAGGCGUCUCACACAGGCACACAAUCACAGUGGCCAGGAGCCAGGCACCGCAGGUCUGCAAACUGAUUUCUCCCUGCAUAUCCCAUUGCUCAGAGCUGCCUUGGCCUGGCUCCCAAGCACAGGGACCCAGUGUCCGUCCCGCAGGCUGGCAUGGGCCACAGGAUGGAGCUUGUCCGGGUGCAAUGUUCAGGGGUUACCUCGUGGUGGGUGGGCCAUGCUGCAGGGCUGCCUGCCCAUCCCCUGCCCAGGUUUUGCACCAAAGCACUGAGCUCCGGCUCAGCCUGCAGCCUGUCCUACAAGGGAGAUGGGGCUGGGAUCCCCAGCCCACAAAGGCUGGCCCAGCACAAGCCUUUUGCUGGGGUCUGAGAGAAAUCCUGGAGAUUUCUGAGGGAUCCUCGCCUCCUCCCCACAGGCUCCUCAGCCUCUUUUUCAGAGAGCAGGUGUGUGUGGGCACCAGGCCCAGCAUGCAGGACACUGCCCCGCUGCAGGGUUCCCCUCCCUCAUGCUGUCUGCCCGUCAAAGGGGCCCUCGCCCACCCCGAGUGGCCUCACCUUGAAACACAGGCAGGCGUGGCCAGGGCCAGGCAGGGCCACCCCCGAGAACCAAUGCCCCCUUCAGAGCCAAGCCUGCCCCUGAGAUGGGACACAGAAUUCACAGAACCCACGGCCUGGGCGGCCACGGUGCAGGAGGAGGCUGCGCUCAGAGAACUGGGCUUCUGGCUCCGAAUCACUCUUCCCUCCGACUACACCUGGCAUCUUCUGCCUCUCACCCAGGAGGGAGAAGGUCCUGCCAUGGGAACAAGGCUGCAGGCCUGCAAACCUGCUCCACCCCAGUGGGGUGCUUCUCUCAGGCCCCAGAGCCCCCAGCCAGUCCCCUAUUCAGAGCAUACAGCCCCCGGCCUAGGCCUGGGGUAA
rnacentral:lncRNA from 1 species